UACGGGGGAGCAAGCGUUGUUCGGAUUUACUGGGCGUAAAGGGCGCGUAGGCGGUCAGCACAAGUCAGUUGUGAAAUCUCCGGGCUUAACCCGGAAAGGUCAACUGAUACUGUGCGACUAGAGUGCGGAAGGGGCAACUGGAAUUCUCGGUGUAGCGGUGAAAUGCGUAGAUAUCGAGAGGAACACCUGCGGCGAAGGCGGGUUGCUGGGCCGACACUGACGCUGAUGCGCGAAGCCAGGGGAGGCGAACGGG
rnacentral:rRNA from 1 species